rnacentral:rRNA from 1 species
AUUGAACGCUGGCGGCAUGCCUUACACAUGCAAGUCGAACGGCAGCACGGGAGCAAUCCUGGUGGCGAGUGGCGAACGGGUGAGUAAUAUAUCGGAACGUGCCCAGUCGUGGGGAUAACGUAGCGAAAGCUACGCUAAUACCGCAUACGAUCUAUGGAUGAAAGCGGGGGGAUCGCAAGACCUCGCGCGAUUGGAGCGGCCGAUAUCAGAUUAGGUAGUUGGUGAGGUAAAGGCUCACCAAGCCGACGAUCUGUAGCUGGUCUGAGAGGACGACCAGCCACACUGGGACUGAGACACGGCCCAGACUCCUACGGAGGCAGCAGUGGGGAAUUUUGGGACAAUGGGCGCAAGCCUGAUCCAGCAAUGCCGCGUGCAGGAUGAAGGCCUUCGGUUGUAAC